UACGUAGGGGGCAAGCGUUGUCCGGAAUCAUUGGGCGUAAAGUGCGUGUAGGCGGUCCGGUAAGUCCGCUGUGAAAGUCGGGGGGCUCAACCCUCGGAUGCCGGUGGAGUACUGUCGGGCUUGAGUACGGAAGAGGCGAGUGGAAUUCCUGGUGUAGCGGUGAAAUGCGCAGAUAUCAGGAGGAACACCAAUGGCGAAGGCAGCUCGCUGGAACGGUACUGACGCUGAGGCGCGAAAGCGUGGGGAGCGAACAGGAUUAG
rnacentral:rRNA from 1 species